CAACACUUCCCUCUUUCUUUCCUUUCUUUUCCCUUUCCUUUUCCUUUUCUUUCUCUUCCCUUAGCCAAAAAACCCUUGUCUCCUUUCUGAUGAAGCUGCAGUCCUCUAUUUCGGCUUCCUCAUGGCUGACCAGCUCAAAAUAGCAGCAAUAAAACAGAGGAGUCCCCUAUUUCGGUGCUGCCAAAGCUAGAGUAGCAACCAUCCCUAACCUGAACUGCCCUUCAUGUUCCACUUCUCUCUGUCUUGGGAUUCAUUUGAGAACCAAAUCCCCUCGCCAGUAAGCCAACAACUCACCUGAACAGGCGCCACUCUAGUUUCUCUAUACUGAAAAUUCUGCAGCUCUGUCCGUUCGUGUCACAACCGCACCUCAGCACACCCCUCCUCUGUUGCAGCCCAACUUCACCACCGAAGGACCCAAAACCUUCCCCUGUGUUGCUGUCCAGCCACCAGCAAGCAAGCUAGCGCCAUCAUGUCGCAGCCGCGCCCUUGCGGUUACAAGUUCUUCAUCGCUCGGCUUCCACCGGUUGAGAGCCAGCCCUCUCCGUCGUGAGCCAAGGGCUUCCCAGCCCUAUUCCAAGCUGACCGGAGCUACUCUGGUGUCCCUAGAGGUCACAGAUUGGAUGUUGCUGCUCAAUCAACAAGUGCAACCUUAGGUUUUCUUAGUAGUUUUUGAAGCCGGACGAUGCUCCUUCAGGAAUGCCCCAACUCAAUGGAUGCCGGUCGCAGUGGAGGCUGGACUGAUUCUCCUAAUCGGAAUGCCGUCUAGAUGUAAACGUUGCCGUGCUCGAUGAUGCGAGACGAUACCCGGUCAUAUCAGAAGACUGCUAUAUGUUGUUUUGGUUGUGGCUAAUGUAUUGAAAUCAUUUUACACGUAUGAAUGAUCGAAAGAGAGGGACCUAAUUAGGAGAUGGAAUUGUGUGGUGAGGUAUGGGACAUGCCAUAACAAUUUAGUCUGGUAAUUGAGGGCA